AUUGAACGCUGGCGGAAUGCUUUACACAUGCAAGUCGAACGGCAGCACGGGGGCAACCCUGGUGGCGAGUGGCGAACGGGUGAGUAAUACAUCGGAACGUGCCCAGUCGUGGGGAAUAACGUAGCGAAAGUUACGCUAAUACCGCAUACGAUCUACGGAUGAAAGCGGGGGACCGUAAGGCCUCGCGCGAUUGGAGCGGCCGAUGUCAGAUUAGGUAGUUGGUGAGGUAAAGGCUCACCAAGCCGACGAGCUGUAGCUGGUCUGAGAGGACGUCCAGACACACGGGGACUUAUACACGGCCCAGAGUCGUACGGGAGGCAGCAGUGGGGAAUUUUGGACAAUGGGCGCAAGCCUGAUCCAGCCAUUCCGCGUGCAGGACGAAGGCCUUCGGGUUGUAAACUGCUUUUGUACGGAACGAAAAGGCUCUGGUUAAUACCUGGGGCUCAUGACAGUACCGUAAGAAUAAGCACCGGCUAACUACGUGCCAGCCGCCGCAGUAA
rnacentral:rRNA from 1 species